CAAACAGUAGUUUAAUGAUUAGAAAAUAAUAGUAUUGGAAACUAUUGAUCCAAUUUGUUUAAUAUUGGUUGUUUGA
rnacentral:tRNA from 1 species